rnacentral:rRNA from 1 species
CCUUAGUAGCGGCGAGUGAAGCGGCAAAAGCUCAAAUUUGAAAUCUGGCGCUUUCAGCGUCCGAGUUGUAAUUUGAAGAAGGUAUCUUUGGGCCCGGCUCUUGUCUAUGUUCCUUGGAACAGGACGUCACAGAGGGUGAGAAUCCCGUGCGAUGAGAUGACCCGGGUCUAUGUAAAGUUCCUUCGACGAGUCGAGUUGUUUGGGAAUGCAGCUCUAAGUGGGUGGUAAAUUCCAUCUAAAGCUAAAUAUUGGCGAGAGACCGAUAGCGAACAAGUACAGUGAUGGAAAGAUGAAAAGAACUUUGAAAAGAGAGUGAAAAAGUACGUGAAAUUGUUGAAAGGGAAGGGCUUGAGAUCAGACUUGGUAUUUUUGUAUGUUGUUCUUUCGGGGGCGGCCUCUACAGUUUACCGGGCCAGCAUCGGUUUGGAGCGGUAGGAUAAUUGCGAAGGAAUGUGGCACGGCUUUUGUUGUGUGUUAUAGCCUUUUCGUAGAUACUGCCAGCCUAGACCGAGGACUGCGGCGUAAGCCUAGGAUGUUGGCAUAAUGAUCUUAAGUCGCCCGUCUUGAAACACGGACCAAGGAGUCUAACGUCUAUGCAAGUGUUUGGGUGUAAAACCCGUACGCGUAAUGAAAGUGAACGUAGGUGGGAGCUUUAU